UUAUCUGCCCAGUAGAAUUUAAAUGGCCGCAGUACCCUGACUGUGCUAAGGUAGCAUAAUCACUUGACUUUUAAAUGGAGCCUAGAAUGAAAGAAUGAACGUAGAAUACUUGUCUUACACACAAUAUUUUUAAAUUAAUGUAUGAGUGAAAAUGCUCAUAAAUAUAAAAAUAGACGAGAAGACCCUUAGAAUUUUAAAAAUAUUACAAGUAUUUAUUUUGUAAGAAUUUUUUGUUGGGGCAACAAUAUUUCAAAAAAAUAAAUAUACAUUUAUUAGAUAUGUCGAUUUAAUAGUUACAGAAAAAUUACCUAAGGGAUAACAGCAUAAUUUAAAUGUUAAGUUUGUGACCUUGAUGUUGGACUAGGUACUAUUAAGGCUAAUCGUUUUAA
rnacentral:rRNA from 1 species